CCCUUAGAUGUUCUGGGCCGCACGCGCGCUACACUGAUGCAUUCAACGAGUCUAAAACCUGGUCUGAUAGGGCUGGGUAAUCUUUUGAAAGUGCAUCGUGAUUGGGAUAGAUGAUUGCAAUUCUUCAUCUUCAACGAGGAAUGCCUAGUAAACGCAAGUCAUCAGCUUGCAUUGAUUACGUCCCUGCCCUUUGUACACACCGCCCGUCGCUACUACCGAUUGAAUGAUCCGAUGAAUACCAUGGAUUGAGAGUACGAAUGGGUUCGCUCAUUUCUGCUGCUCGAGAAGUGGAGUAAAUCUUAUCAUUUAGAGGAAGGAGAAGUCGUAACA
rnacentral:rRNA from 1 species